rnacentral:rRNA from 1 species
GGGGCUUACCAUGCAGUCGACGGAAGGCCCUGCUUUUGUGGGGUGCUCGAGUGGCGAACGGGUGAGUAACACGUGAGUAACCUGCCCUUGACUUUGGGAUAACUUCAGGAAACUGGGGCUAAUACCGGAUAGGAGCUCCUGCUGCAUGGUGGGGGUUGGAAAGUUUCGGCGGUUGGGGAUGGACUCGCGGCUUAUCAGCUUGUUGGUGGGGUAGUGGCUUACCAAGGCUUUGACGGGUAGCCGGCCUGAGAGGGUGACCGGCCACAUUGGGACUGAGAUACGGCCCAGACUCCUACGGGAGGCAGCAGUGGGGAAUAUUGCACAAUGGGCGGAAGCCUGAUGCAGCAACGCCGCGUGCGGGAUGACGGCCUUCGGGUUGUAAACAGCUUUCGCCUGUGACGAAGCGUGAGUGACGGUAAUGGGUAAAGAAGCACCGGCUAACUACGUGCCAGCACCCCCGGGUAAUAAAACUGCGGCCCGGUAACCGCU